rnacentral:sRNA from 1 species
ACAUAUAAUAAGGUAUUUCUCAGAGUACAACACAAAGAUAAGACAAAGACGACUGACGACAUACAACAUCAAGAAAAAGACGGACGCAACGGAGCCUCUAGAUGCAUAUUGUUGUAAACAAAUUGAACGAUAUAAUUGAGGGAAAAAAAUA